GGGGGAUGGUAAAAAUGUUUCCCAGAGGGGUGAACAAUUUAUUCAGGGGAGUAAAAUGGGAUGUUUGGGGGUCCCCAGGUACUCUGCG